AAACACAGCGGUGACCCCGCGGUCAGGGCUAAGCGCUGCGAGUGGGCCGAGUGCUUCGGGUUUCUGGGGUGGAAAGGCCGGAAUCGCGCCUCUCGCGUAGGCUGACCCCACCACCCUCCCUCCGCGCGCCGCAAAGCCAGAGUUUAGCGAUAAGGGGAAUGUCCCCAAACGGUGGGGCCUCAUGCGCACGCGCCUCGGGUCGGGGGCAGAGAGGUGGAGAGCUGGGGGUGCAGCAAGAUGAGGAUUGGAAGGGAAGGAGGACAGAGUUGGCGGGAGGAGACGGUGACAGAGCUCCAGGGUGCCGCACAGGAGGAGAGCGACUCGACCCCUUGGCCGCUAGCGGGUCUCCCUGGGCGCUGCGGCGGCGCGAGGCGCGGGGCCUGCGGCGCGGCGUCGUGACGUCACGGUGGCGGCGGCCGUGGUUGGCGCAGGGUCCGCGGCUGCAAAGUGUGAAUUACGCCGGGCUCGCGCCGGCGGCGGAGUGAAGUCAGGCUCCGGGGGAGGGGAGGGGCAGGACCGCGGCGGCGGCGGCCGGAGCUGGUGGCUGCACCCGAGCUCCGCGUGCUUUGGGUCUCGCCGUGCCUCCAGCGUUUUUUCUUGCACCGCUUUACUCUGUCCUUGUUCCGCUCCUCCCGGAUCCUCUCCUCUCGGCCGAAGAGUCUUGGGGCGCCCGACUCCCCCCUCUUACUUUGCCUGUGCUGCCCCCGCUUGCACCCCGAAGCCGGGCGCGCGGUGGUCCUCGUAACUGUCGCGGCGGCCGCCGCAGCGCCUUCCCGCCGGCUGCCCGACCGGAGUGUUGGGGUGGGGGAGGCGUGAGCGCGGCUUCCCGGCCCGGGGUCGCCGCUCGCCCGCCCUGCCCCCGCCUCGGCCUGGCGCCCCCGAGCCGCGGCCCCUUACCAACGCAGGGGCCGGCGGCCGCGGCAGGGCGGGCGCCGCGCGGGGGCAGGGCGGGCUUAUUCAAUGGAAGUAUGUUACCAGCUGCCGGUGCUGCCCCUGGACAGGCCGGUCCCCCAGCACGUCCUCAGCCGCCGAGGAGCCAUCAGCUUCAGCUCCAGCUCCGCGCUCUUCGGCUGCCCCAAUCCCCGGCAGCUCUCACAGAGGCGGGGAGCUAUUUCCUAUGACAGCUCUGAUCAGACCGCAUUGUACAUUCGUAUGCUAGGAGAUGUACGCGUAAGGAGUCGAGCAGGAUUUGAAUCAGAAAGAAGAGGUUCUCACCCGUAUAUUGAUUUUCGUAUUUUUCAUGCUCCAUCUGAAAUUGAAGUUUCUGUGUCUGCGAGGAAUAUCAGAAGAUUACUAAGUUUCCAGCGGUAUCUUAGAUCUUCACGCUUUUUUCGUGGUACUACCGUUUCAAAUUCUCUAAACAUUUUAGAUGAUGAUUAUAAUGGACAAGCCAAGUGUAUGCUGGAAAAAGUUGGAAAUUGGAAUUUUGAUAUCUUUCUAUUUGAUAGACUAACAAAUGGAAAUAGCCUAGUAAGUUUAACCUUCCAUUUAUUCAAUCUUCAUGGAUUAAUUGAGUACUUCCAUUUAGAUAUGAUGAAACUUCGUAGAUUUUUAGUUAUGAUUCAAGAGGAUUACCACAGUCAGAACCCUUACCACAAUGCCGUCCACGCUGCAGAUGUUACUCAGGCCAUGCACUGUUACUUAAAGGAACCUAAGCUUGCCAACUCUGUAACUCCUUGGGACAUCUUGCUCAGCUUAAUUGCAGCUGCCACUCAUGAUCUGGAUCAUCCAGGUGUUAAUCAACCUUUCCUUAUUAAAACGAACCAUUACUUGGCAACUUUAUACAAGAAUACCUCAGUACUGGAAAAUCACCACUGGAGAUCUGCAGUGGGAUUAUUGAGAGAAUCUGGUUUAUUCUCACAUAUGCCAUUAGAAAGCAGGCAACAGAUGGAGGCUCAGAUAGGCGCUCUGAUACUGGCCACAGACAUCAGCCGCCAGAACGAGUACCUGUCCUUGUUCAGGGCCCAUCUGGACAGAGGCGACUUACGCCUGGAAGACGCCAGGCAUAGGCAUUUGGUUUUACAGAUGGCUUUGAAAUGUGCUGAUAUUUGUAACCCAUGUCGGACUUGGGAAUUAAGCAAGCAGUGGAGUGAAAAAGUAACAGAGGAAUUCUUCCACCAAGGAGAUAUAGAAAAAAAGUAUCAUUUGGGUGUGAGUCCACUUUGUGAUCGUCAGACUGAAUCUAUUGCCAACAUCCAGAUUGCACAUCUCGGUUUGGACUAGCCACGUUUCAAGUGCCCAGUCUCCACAUGGGCUUGUGGCCACCAUGCUAGACAGCUGGGUACAGAAGUCUGAUGGUGGCAGAGCUGAGGGUGACCUGGGGAAGGUUAACUGGCCACUUACAUGAGGCAGCAUCACCGUGGCAGAUCUCAUGCGUCUGGAAUCUGAUAAGGAUCCAACCCACUCACAGACCUAGAAUCUCAGCACACGGAGGGUGGAACUACCUCACAGCAAACUUACAUUAACCAAGCUCACGGCAGAUCUUCUUGGGAAGCUAAGUUCUGAUCAGCCAGUUACUUGGUGAACAUGGAUUCUGAGCUUGGGGAACAAGCUGCCCCAUGCAUCCUAUGGGGAUGCUCCUGCUGACACUCGUGUCUGUGGACCAGGGCUCCCAGGACGAUGCUGGAGGUUCUCUGCCGGCAUCUGCUCCUCCACGUCCGCUUCUGUUUGGCAUGUCCAGUAGAUGCCAGACUGUCAGCCUGUCUCAGCUAUCAGUCUACCAUUACAGAAAAUUAUGUUGAAACCAGUCUGUCUGUGCUGAAGUCAUGUGGUACCAGUAUCUGAGUUGCUGUUAUGGGCAGAGCACUGCACUGGAUGUAAUGAAGGUAUAAAUAAUUGCAGAACAUGAUCUCUGUUCUCAAAACCUUUGGGUGACAAGAUGAUGUGUGAAAAGCAUUUGUUACAUAAUAUGGCAGGUUUCUAUAUUGUACAAAAUGAGUGCAAAGUGUUGGGAGCUGUUGAGAAUGAAUGAUUUUGUUGGGUUCAUGUUGAAAAUGACACCAUUUCCAGUAAUUCUUGACUUUUAUUAUUAAUAUCCUUGACUGGUAAAAAUCAUUUAGCUUUCAAAUUUGAUUCUAAAAUACAAGUCUUAGAUGUUCAGUAUGUAAAAUACUUCUCAAUCACAAUCACAUUUUUUACUCCUUUACUACUUUCUAAGUCAUCCUGAAACCCGUGUGUUUAAUAUUAGAGUAUUUCUAGCUGUAACAUAAAACUGGAGCACACUGUUGACACUUUCCACUGGUACCAUCAGCAGUCUUGUUAACAUAGUUCAUCUUAUAUUACAUUUACCUUUGAGCUCUACAUUGAGCUUUUUGAGCAUAAAUUUGAAGUGUUUCUUUACUGUUGAGCCAUGUCCUGUAAAGAACCAGGAGGCUGGCUGCAUGGUAUCCCCCCGUUAUAGCUUAGCUGAAAUUUGUAUAAGUUCUAUAUGUAAACUUUUUUGAGGAAAGUAUCGUAAAGGGAUGUGUUUUAAGAUCCUAGGUGAACAUCUGCAGAAAACAGGACUUUUGAAUUUCCGUCUAAGAAUCAUCACAAGAUAGGGAUUAGUUUUUUCCAUGACAGGGAGCAGAGGCUCACUCAGAUAAGUGCAUGUUAACUGGGGACUUUAUCUUGAAGAUUCGUGUUCAUAACAGACGAGCCCUUGUGAAGGCUGGAGGAGCAGAAGCUGGGGUCUGAGCAUCCUGAGAUGUUGCUUUUUGCUGCAUCUGCUGCUUUCUCCCACACUCCUGGUCCUUUUCCCGAAUCUUCUCUACCUUGGAGUGUCUGCUUAGAAAGGCCAGGAUAGUGUAGUUUCUAAAAGUGUUGUCUUUGUGGCUAGAUGGGCUGGGUUUGGGUCUUUCGUCAUGUAAAGCCAGUCACCCAGUCUUUUCGGUGGCUUCCUAACCUGUAAAACAGCCUUGUUCAUUUCUUCAUAAUCUGCUUUGUAUGAACUGCCCGUGGACACUUGUACCUCAUGACAUCUUUAUUUGAGCUCCAGAUACCAACUGCCCCCCUUCUCAGGGUUUCCUCUUCAAAUUCCCAAGGGAGAAUCUGAUCGGACCAGCUAACCAAGGCUGCAUCCCGGGUCACAGACCAGUCUCUGCGUCACCAGGUGUUCUCCUUGCAGAGGGAAGGUCAGAGAGCCUGGACGACCGGACCCCAGACCGGUGUCUCAUAUGCACCCCCUCCCUCACGGCUAACACAGCUGUCGUUACAGAAGCGCCUCCCCCCACGCCUCCACCUCAUCCUUUCUCGUCCUUUGAUGACCAGGGUGACUGGCUAAGGAAGAGGGACGGUGACGAGGCAGCAGGAGCAGAAGGCUGCUGCUCACAGCUGUGGUAGAAAUCCUGUCAUGAAGUCUUUGUCCCCAAAGUAAGGCUUUUCCAGCUAGGAGAGCAGGUCUGAGGGGCUGGACGGCCCUGGAACAGCCACGGCUCCCUGGAUGGAGGGUGAGGCACUGUUGGAUCCUCUUCCAUUUACCUUCCUGAGCGCGUCUGAGUUGCUCGGGUUACACUCCGGGCUUAUGGAAGGCUCUCUCUCUGUGACCUUUAGAAGAGGCUGGAGCGUCUACCAGAGAGGAGGUUGAGAAGCUAGAGGGACGUUAUUAAGGCUUCCAGCCCCAUGAAGUGGACUAAGGACAACAGUCUCAGAGGAGAACAUACAAGAUUUCCAGAUCCUUCUGCGGUUAUGCUGUCAGAUCUCAAGUGAUCGCACUAGUGCCAGUGAAGAACUAGCUUGCAAGGGAGAACUAACCAUGUUAGGAAGCAGGUUCGGGGGUAGCUCAGAAGAACGCUGAUGCUCCAGGAUGAGGAGGGGCAGAGGGGUUAGGAAUGGCGGAAGGCUCACGGGAAGUAUUGUGACAGUGAGAACGAUAUGGUCACCAGCUGCCUCAUUCUGCCUGACAACCCCAGAGCUGCUGUUACUGGGCAACGCCUGCAAGUUUAAACUUCUCUCUCCCAGAUCUGACCCACAGCGGGGACUUCUGUUUUCAGAGAGGUUAUUGGAGGAUGAUUUCCCCAAACUCUUGUUUCUAAUAGUAGUUCCCUCAUAUUGUCUUCCUUCACCACUAAGACACAGACUCACCGGAAUUCUUAAUACAGCAGGAGGACAGAAGGGCCUAUGACUGGGAGGACAACCAGAAUGAAAGCCUGUGAGACCCGCUGCUCCACUCCAGCCCUGUGCACAGAUGACACCUUUUCCAGGUGCCAGGGACCACGUCUCCUGGGAGAAAUCAGUCCACUGAGAACUAGUGCCCUCAUGUGAAACAAUAUCUGCAAGUGGGGAAAAGUUUGUGUUUGAUCAGAGAUCAUAAUAUGUGGAAUCAAAGAAACAAAAGUUUGAGUCCUGGACUACCCAAACCUGGCGCGGCUUCCCGCCCUCGGUUACCUUCCUUAUCUUGGAGCACUGGCCCAAAUUCAAUACUGAUACAAAUACGAAUUUCUUAGGCGGUCAAGGUAUGUCUAUCAGGGGAAUUUUCUGGAUUUCUUUUUAAGGCAGAAUUUUUAAACCAUAUAAAACAGUGAGAAACAAUGUGCAUUGACAACGUGUAAAAUAAGCCACAGUUCAAAUUUUAGGUGAAUAACCAAACCAUGUACAUUAACUUCAACUAUUAUCUGCUAUUAUUUAGAACAUUGCACAUAUUUUCAGUAACCUAACAGUGAAUGUCUGUUCUUCCCAUCUCUGAAUCCCACCCCCCAGGAAGUACAACUUCCCCCUGCCCCCACUAGAUUUAAAUAGUAAAUCCAAAUAUGUUUUCAUGGUAGUCUGACUAACUAUAACUGAGUUUAGCAGAAAUACAGAAAAUCAUGAAGACUUAUGAAGCAUUUAAAAAUGAUCACUUGUCACAAUUCCUUAGAAGCCCUGGCUGAGAAAGGCAACUCUCCACUCCUAGUAGCACUACAGUUUAUGUUGCACAAUGUAACGCAACAGAACAGCAUUCUGACCAAUGAUAAGCAGCUUACAGGAAAUUCUUUUGCCUAUUCAGUGUUCCACUAUAAAGCUACAGUUUUUGACAAUAUUAAAAAUUUUUAAACUCCAUUAUGCUGACAUUUCCAGAAGUAUUAACUUAGUAACAAGUCAUUUUGUGAUGCCAUUUAUUAAACUGAAAGAAAAAAAGAUGGUACAUUCUGGUUUUUACUUAAAAAGUAAUUUAAUUCAAUAAUUUGAUUCCUCACUAUUGGAAAACUACGUUCCCUUCCUCAGCACUGGGUGGCACUGAGGCGAGAACAGCUUUCACGAUCCUUGACGUUCCUUCAUGGAGUUUCAGCAGCGAACAUUAUCCAGUUCCCACUCAAACCCCACCUCCGAGACAAUGUGAGGAAGAAUCUAAAAUGAAAGUUCUGUUCAAGGCAAGAAGACACUACAGUCUCAAACAUGUCACUCCAACAACUUGGUUGUGCAGCUGUGCAGAAACGAUCGCUGAGAAUGAACGACACCAGCAGCACCCUCAUCACUGCCUCUGCUAAAUGUCAGGACACAGUUGAAUGUCUUGCAAAACGCAGGUGCACAGCAGUGGACCACCAGCUGCCCCAGAGAGAGGCCUGCCCAGCACUCACCAACACUGUUCCGGAGGUGGCCUCGGAUUCAGACUUUGGAAUUCCUUUUUCAACUUCACUUUGGCUCUCACUUCGAUACCGAGUUGGCUUAUACUGAGUCGAGCCAGGACUCGGGAACAACACGAGGAAACACCACCACUACGUGCCAGCAGGUUCAUGGGCUAGGAUUUCAACACCACGGUUUCUUCUCCCGAGUGACAGUGCCACACAGAAGCAACAGUAUUAGACCAAGAGUCAGACGACCUGAAUUCAGUUUCCACUCUGGGCAAGAGGAAGAGAAGUGACCGUUAAGUAGCUGCAAUGUGCUGAAGACAUUUCAUAUAAUUUGCACAUUUACUCCCACGUAACUUCGUAACACAGGGCAGCUGUCCUCACUGCAGAGCAGACCUGGGAGGUGGAAGGGCCAAGCACCCGCCGCAGAACACGCAGGGUCACGAUUUUGGCAAUCUGAGCUCUGAGAGCAGCGAGUUCAUUUUCGAGGGCACAGAUCUUCUGCAGUGCCUCCUCGUUCGCCAGCGUCGUGCUCUGCAGCUGACACUCCUUUGGAGACAGGUCUGGUAAGGAAAACUGCCUGCUUGGGGGCUUCUCAAGGAAAGGAAGGUCAUCCUGAAGGGGCUGCCUUGACCUGACCUGUGUCCUGCAAGGAAGACAGAAGGCUGGCUGUCACAGGCUUUGUCAGGGAAUACAAUCAAUCAUUUCAAAGUUAAUCAGAACCUAACAUCUGAGAACCACUUUUCAGGCUGACCGUCCAUAAAGCCCUUGCUGUAAGUUUCAACAACAAAGCACUUGUCAACCUCACGCAGGAACGCGCCAGGCCAGAUUUCUUGCUGCCAUCAUUCUUCUUAAUCUCCACACAAUACACACAAGCCUGCACUACAAGAGGCAACACAGCUUCCAGCAGUGUCUUUGCUAAUUCACGUUUUGUUUUGAUGGUAUGAACUAAGGUGAAGAAACUUUUAAUGAUAAACUAAUUACUGGUUAUGUGUGACAAAUCAAAUCAGUAAUCUCUUAGCCCUUCCCCAGGGUCUUGGCUUCUACCCUUGGAUGUCAGUGUUUUCCACAUGUGAUAGAAUGUACUAAAUUGUAAGACAUACUGUAACAAUAUGGGCCAAAUUACAGCGUAAGAAACUACAAAGGAGAAAAAAGUAAUCAUUAUAGUGGAACUCAUGCAGUAACUAUAUACAUGAUCUCAUUUUCACUUGGGUGUUUAAAAAAAAAAAAAAGGCUUUUCUAACAUGCAUUGCUCCACAGCUCUAUAUUGAAGUCUUUGGGGGGUGAGAAUAAAGUUCAGAUUCCUUUUCAGUUGUCAAUUUCUAUACUUACCAUUUCCUCCUAUUUUCUACAAUUAGGUUUUUCCAGCCUCUAAUCCGUUUUUUUUUCUUCCAGCUUUACCAAGGUAUAACUGACACAUGCUGUAUGUAGUUAAGGUGUACAGCAUGAUUUGAUGUGUGUAUACAUUUUGAAAUAAUCACAACAAUCAGGUUAACAUAUCCCAGUUUCCUUCCAUUUCAUGGUCAUGUGACCAAGUGCUGACUGACAAGCUGGAGGCAGAACGUGGGUGAGCCGCCAGGAAGGCCGCUCCAGGAGAAAGCGCGUCCUUUCAUCUCUAGCCCCACGAGCCUCCGAGAGUCAAGCUAACCUUGACGUGAAAGCCAGUGCUAAGGAUGGCAGAGAGCCCGGCUGGGUCCCUAGGGACACAGUGGAGCCACUGUCAGCUUCAUACUCUCCACUCUGGAUGUUUCUGACUUGAGAGAAAAAUAAACUUCUUCAUUGUUUUUGA